rnacentral:rRNA from 1 species
GACGAACGCUGGCGGCGUGCUUAACACAUGCAAGUCGAACGGAAAGGCCCUGCUUUUGUGGGGUGCUCGAGUGGCGAACGGGUGAGUAACACGUGAGUAACCUGCCCUUGACUUUGGGAUAACUUCAGGAAACUGGGGCUAAUACCGGCUAGGAGCUCCUGCUGCAUGGUGGGGGUUGGACAGUUUCGGCGGUUGGGGAUGGACUCGCGGCUUAUCAGCUUGUUGGUGGGGUAGUGGCUUACCAAGGCUUUGACGGGUAGCCGGCCUGAGAGGGUGACCGGCCACAUUGGGACUGAGAGACGGCCCAGACUGCAACGGGAGGCAGCAGUGGAGAAUAUUGCACAAUGGGCGGAAGCCUGAUGCAGCAACGCCGCGUGCGGGAUGACGGCCUUCGGGUUGUAAACCGCUUUAGCCUGUGACGAAGCGUGAGUGACGGUAAUGGGUAAAGAAGCACCGGCUAACUACGUG